rnacentral:rRNA from 1 species
UACGUAGGGUGCGAGCGUUAAUCGGAUUUACUGGGCGUAAAGCGUGCGCAGGCGGCCCGUUAAGACAGGUGUGAAAUCCCUGGGCUCAACCCCGGAAGUGCAUUGGAAACUGCUCUGCUUGAGUACCGGAGAGGAAGGGGGAAUUCCUGGUGUAGCAGUGAAAUGCGUAGAGAUCAGGAGGAACACCGAUGGCGAAGGCAGCCCCCUGGGCCUGUACUGACGCUCAUGCACGAAAGCGUGGGGAGCAAACAGG